UACAGAGGUCCCAAGCGUUGUUCGGAUUCACUGGGCGUAAAGGGUGCGUAGGUGGCGAGGUAAGUUUGAUGUGAAAGCUCCGGGCUCAACCCGGAAAGUGCAUUGAAUACUACUUUGCUUGAGGGUCAGAGGGGAGACUGGAAUUUACGGUGUAGCAGUGAAAUGCGUAGAGAUCGUAAGGAAGACCAGUGGCGAAGGCGGGUCUCUGGACAGUUCCUGACACUGAGGCACGAAGGCUAGGGGAGCAAACAGG
rnacentral:rRNA from 1 species